rnacentral:rRNA from 1 species
UACGAAGGGGGCUAGCGUUGCUCGGAAUCACUGGGCGUAAAGCGCACGUAGGCGGAUUCCUAAGUCGGGGGUGAAAUCCUGGAGCUCAACUCCAGAACUGCCUUCGAUACUGGGAAUCUUGAGUCCGGGAGAGGUGAGUGGAACUGCGAGUGUAGAGGUGAAAUUCGUAGAUAUUCGCAAGAACACCAGUGGCGAAGGCGGCUCACUGGCCCGGUACUGACGCUGAGGUGCGAAAGCGUGGGGAGCGAACAGG